GGGGCUGUAGCUCAAUUGGUAGAGCGCUUGUUUUGCAAGCAAGAAGCUAGCGGUUCGAGUCCGCUUAGCUCCA
rfam:Candidatus Hodgkinia cicadicola Dsem, complete genome.